UACCUACGGGGGGCAGCAGUGGGGGAUAUUGCACAAUGGGGGCAACCCUGAUGCAGCGACGCCGCGUGAGCGAUGGAGUACUUCGGUAUGUAAAGCUCUGUCAGCAGGGAAGAGAAUGACGGUACCUGACCAAGAAGCCCCGGCUAACUACGUGCCAGCAGCCGCGGUAAUACGUAGGGGGCAAGCGUUAUCCGGAAUUACUGGGUGUAAAGGGAGCGUAGACGGUUAAGUAAGUCUGGAGUGAAAGGCCGGGGCCCAACCCCGGGACUGCUCUGGAAACUAUUGAACUUGAGUGCAGGAGAGGG
rnacentral:rRNA from 1 species